CCCUCAAAUAUCUGCCCGGAUAGUGCGAUGCCUCUACUGCUAUCACGGUUCCUGGAAUUGAGGGAGAUUACCCCUGCACUUCGAGUCGAUCCACUCAUUCGCAUAAGGAUCGGCUUGCGGUGUGGGCAUGGUGGGAUGUCGUAAUGGAUGGCUCGUGUGGUUACUAUUCACUCGAGUGGUUUUAUAUGCUCCCUACAUCU
rnacentral:snoRNA from 1 species